ensembl:lincRNA Gm26634 predicted gene, 26634
CAGGUUUGGGACAUGGGUGAAGGGGCACAGCCUUGUCCCUCUCCUGCUGCUCAGGAUGGAAGCUCUUUCUAGAUUGCCAUCUUCAUUCCCCGAAGGUGGCCGGGCAUCGGGAGGCAAUUGGCCCCUCUCUGCUCCCCCUGCUGUGUGGUCCUGAUGCAGCCAUCUACACGUCUGAGCUUCAGUUUCCGUAUUCACUCAGAUUUACAGCAUGCCACCACGCCCUGCCUACCUUUGAAUCCGGCUCUGCCUAGCGAGGAACUCAAUCUGGCUGAGGAGGCCUUCCAAAUGGAGGGAUCGGCAUGUACAGAGAAGAGCCUGAACCCAAGAGAUGAGGAAGUGGCCAAGGAGCUGGGGUAACACGAGGCUACAGGGAAAACAGGCCUGAUGACACGUCCCUUGUCAGCCACAGGCGAUGGCGGAUUUUGUCCUGAGUACAAGAAGCAGCCACUGGAAGGCUUAAAGUAGCAGGAUGUGGUGCUGCCUGCCAUUCACAGUCUACAAGGAUGCCAAGGGUGGUUGGAGGAGCGUGGGCGGGGCUGGACGAGCGUGGGCGGUGUUGGAGAAGCGUGGGCGGAGCUGGAGAAGGGGAACAGUGCGUGGCUGGGGUCCUAUACCCUUCCUUCAACUCUUCAACUCCCCCCCACCCCCGUUCCCCUUCCCUGCUUUCUCUCUCCCUCAAGGCCAGCCCCGAUGAUUCCAGUAAGGUAGGAUGACCCAGAGCCCUGCAGGUCCUGGGGUCGGAAAGACCGCAGAGCCCGUAAAUGAGAUCAAGGAAAGGCAAUCCUUGGGCCUGUGAGGCAAGCCUCUGGAUGUGUUUGUCUUGAGCCUGCUCCAGUAACUGUAGUAAGACACUGGAGACGGGGUGAUUUAUAAAGAACAGAGGUUUAUUCAGUUCAUGGUUCUGGAGACUUGGAGGACAGAAUGUGGUGGUUAGCAUCCAUUUGAAGAGAUCUAGAAUCUGACAGGAACAAAUCUCUGGUCCUGAGAAGGUUUCUACAGGGUUAAUUAAAGGCGGGCACCACCAUUCCACAGGCAGGAGUCUUGGACUGAAUCCAGAGAAGAAAGUGGGCUGGCUGAGCCACAGCACCCUCUGAUUCCUGCCUGUGGGGGUCAUGUGACCAACUGCCAUGCCAUCUCUGCUAUGACAGGCUGUAUGUACCCUUGAACCACAAGUCUUUCUUCCUUCAGUUGGUUUUGUCAGGUAUUUGGUGACAGCAACAGAAAGGUAACUUUUAGAAAGGUGUGUCCUUACAUCCAGCUAGGCCCUUAGUACCACACAUUAAUGUGGUCAGACAGAGCAAGUGUAUGAGGUCAUGUCUCUUCUCCUCCUCCUCCUCCUCUUCCUCUUCCUUUUUUUUUUCUUUUUUGUUUUGUUUUUGUUUUUGUUUUUUGAGACAGUGUUUCUCUGUGUAGCCCUGGCUCUCCUGGAACUCACUCUGUAGACCAGGCUGGCCCUGAACUCAGAGAUCUGACAGCCUCUGCCUACCCAGUGCUAGAAUUAAAAGCAUGUGCUACCAAC